rnacentral:rRNA from 1 species
CGGGGUGCACCAGGCGCGAAAACUUUACAAUGCGGGAAACCGUGAUAAGGGGACACCGAGUGCCAGCAUCAUAUGCUGGCUGUCCAGGUGUGUAAAAUACACCUGUUAGCAAGGGCCGGGCAAGACCGGUGCCAGCCGCCGCGGUAACACCGGCGGCCCGAGUGGUGAUCGUGAUUAUUGGGUCUAAAGGGUCCGUAGCCGGUUUGGUCAGUCCUCCGGGAAAUCUGACGGCUCAACCGUUAGGCUUUCGGGGGAUACUGCCAGGCUUGGAACCGGGAGAGGUAAGAGGUACUACAGGGGUAGGAGUGAAAUCUUGUAAUCCCUGUGAGACCACCUGUGGCGAAGGCGUCUUACCAGAACGGGUUCGACGGUGAGGGACGAAAGCUGGGGGCACGAACCGGAUUAGAUACCCGGGUAGUCCCAGCCGUAAACGAUGCUCGCUAGGUGUCAGGCAUGGCGCGACCGUGUCUGGUGCCGCAGGGAAGCCGUGAAGCGAGCCACCUGGGAAGUACGGCCGCAAGGCUGAAACUUAAA